CACAGCUCCAGCCAACAAAAACAGCACCUGCCUCUGCAUGUCCAUCAGCAGCCCAUUAACUCAUGUCUGGUGCAGCAGACUCUUUAAAGUGACCAGAAUGUGGCUGGCUCAAAGCCGCUCCUGUUGACGUAUGGAGAUGAAUGGACUCUGGCCUGCAUUGUCUCGCUGACACGCCCACAUUCAGCUUCAUUGGUCUUUGUGACAGGCCAAUGGGGGAGAUAUGCAAAUGGCAUUAAGAGUUUAUAACGCAGUCCGUCACACACAGAGCUGUACUGCUCUUGUGGGGAGGAUCCAACUGGCAACGCCGUCGCAGACACCGUCCUCCGGUUCACCCUCAGAAUUAGACACGUUGUGAGCUGUAAGAGAAGCAGAG
ensembl:lncRNA